CCUACGGGAGGCAGCAGUGGGGAAUAUUGCACAAUGGGGGAAACCCUGAUGCAGCAACGCCGCGUGAGUGAUGAAGGCCUUCGGGUUGUAAAGCACUGUCUUUUGGGACGAUAAUGACGGUACCAAAGGAGGAAGCCACGGCUAACUACGUGCCAGCAGCCGCGGUAAU
rnacentral:rRNA from 1 species